rnacentral:lncRNA from 1 species
CGCCAUGACUGUCUUCUGAUGUUGAUUGCUUUAUAUGUUCGGUGCUUUAUGCAUUAUGUUCAGUAGAUAUCCUAUUAUGUUCAGUAGAUAUCCUAUUAUGUUCAGUAGUUAUCCUAUUAUGUUCAGUAGUUAUUACAUUAUGUUUAGUAGUUUUUACAUUAUAUUCGGUGCUUUGGUUAUUAUGUUCAGUAGUUUCAUUAUUAUAUGCAGUGGUAUUUAAAUUAUGUUCGGUACUUCUGACGUUAUAUUCAGUACUUUU